UUAAGCGACUAAGCGUACACGGUGGAUGCCCUGGCAGUCAGAGGCGAUGAAGGACGUGCUAAUCUGCGAUAAGCGUCGGUGAGGUGAUAUGAACCGUUAUAACCGGCGAUUUCCGAAUGGGGAAACCCAGUGUGUUUCGACACACUAUCAUUAACUGAAUCCAUAGGUUAAUGAGGCGAACCGGGGGAACUGAAACAUCUAAGUACCCCGAGGAAAAGAAAUCAACCGAGAUUCCCCCAGUAGCGGCGAGCGAACGGGGAGGAGCCCAGAGCCUGAAUCAGUGUGUGUGUUAGUGGAAGCGUCUGGAAAGGCGCGCGAUACAGGGUGACAGCCCCGUACACAAAAAUGCACAUACUGUGAGCUCGAUGAGUAGGGCGGGACACGUGGUAUCCUGUCUGAAUAUGGGGGGACCAUCCUCCAAGGCUAAAUACUCCUGACUGACCGAUAGUGAACCAGUACCGUGAGGGAAAGGCGAAAAGAACCCCGGCGAGGGGAGUGAAAAAGAACCUGAAACCGUGUACGUACAAGCAGUGGGAGCCUCUUAAUGGGGUGACUGCGUACCUUUUGUAUAAUGGGUCAGCGACUUAUAUUCUGUAGCAAGGUUAACCGAAUAGGGGAGCCGAAGGGAAACCGAGUCUUAACUGGGCGUUAAGUUGCAGGGUAUAGACCCGAAACCCGGUGAUCUAGCCAUGGGCAGGUUGAAGGUUGGGUAACACUAACUGGAGGACCGAACCGACUAAUGUUGAAAAAUUAGCGGAUGACUUGUGGCUGGGGGUGAAAGGCCAAUCAAACCGGGAGAUAGCUGGUUCUCCCCGAAAGCUAUUUAGGUAGCGCCUCGUGAAUUCAUCUCCGGGGGUAGAGCACUGUUUCGGCAAGGGGGUCAUCCCGACUUACCAACCCGAUGCAAACUGCGAAUACCGGAGAAUGUUAUCACGGGAGACACACGGCGGGUGCUAACGUCCGUCGUGAAGAGGGAAACAACCCAGACCGCCAGCUAAGGUCCCAAAGUCAUGGUUAAGUGGGAAACGAUGUGGGAAGGCCCAGACAGCCAGGAUGUUGGCUUAGAAGCAGCCAUCAUUUAAAGAAAGCGUAAUAGCUCACUGGUCGAGUCGGCCUGCGCGGAAGAUGUAACGGGGCUAAACCAUGCACCGAAGCUGCGGCAGCGACACUAUGUGUUGUUGGGUAGGGGAGCGUUCUGUAAGCCUGUGAAGGUGGCCUGUGAGGGUUGCUGGAGGUAUCAGAAGUGCGAAUGCUGACAUAAGUAACGAUAAAGCGGGUGAAAAGCCCGCUCGCCGGAAGACCAAGGGUUCCUGUCCAACGUUAAUCGGGGCAGGGUGAGUCGACCCCUAAGGCGAGGCCGAAAGGCGUAGUCGAUGGGAAACAGGUUAAUAUUCCUGUACUUGGUGUUACUGCGAAGGGGGGACGGAGAAGGCUAUGUUGGCCGGGCGACGGUUGUCCCGGUUUAAGCGUGUAGGCUGGUUUUCCAGGCAAAUCCGGAAAAUCAAGGCUGAGGCGUGAUGACGAGGCACUACGGUGCUGAAGCGACAAAUGCCCUGCUUCCAGGAAAAGCCUCUAAGCAUCAGGUAACAUCAAAUCGUACCCCAAACCGACACAGGUGGUCAGGUAGAGAAUACCAAGGCGCUUGAGAGAACUCGGGUGAAGGAACUAGGCAAAAUGGUGCCGUAACUUCGGGAGAAGGCACGCUGAUAUGUAGGUGAAGCGACUUGCUCGUGGAGCUGAAAUCAGUCGAAGAUACCAGCUGGCUGCAACUGUUUAUUAAAAACACAGCACUGUGCAAACACGAAAGUGGACGUAUACGGUGUGACGCCUGCCCGGUGCCGGAAGGUUAAUUGAUGGGGUUAGCGGUAACGCGAAGCUCUUGAUCGAAGCCCCGGUAAACGGCGGCCGUAACUAUAACGGUCCUAAGGUAGCGAAAUUCCUUGUCGGGUAAGUUCCGACCUGCACGAAUGGCGUAAUGAUGGCCAGGCUGUCUCCACCCGAGACUCAGUGAAAUUGAACUCGCUGUGAAGAUGCAGUGUACCCGCGGCAAGACGGAAAGACCCCGUGAACCUUUACUAUAGCUUGACACUGAACAUUGAGCCUUGAUGUGUAGGAUAGGUGGGAGGCUUUGAAGUGUGGACGCCAGUCUGCAUGGAGCCGACCUUGAAAUACCACCCUUUAAUGUUUGAUGUUCUAACGUGGGCCCCUUACCGGGGUUGCGGACAGUGUCUGGUGGGUAGUUUGACUGGGGCGGUCUCCUCCUAAAGAGUAACGGAGGAGCACGAAGGUUGGCUAAUCCUGGUCGGACAUCAGGAGGUUAGUGCAAUGGCAUAAGCCAGCUUGACUGCGAGCGUGACGGCGCGAGCAGGUGCGAAAGCAGGUCAUAGUGAUCCGGUGGUUCUGAAUGGAAGGGCCAUCGCUCAACGGAUAAAAGGUACUCCGGGGAUAACAGGCUGAUACCGCCCAAGAGUUCAUAUCGACGGCGGUGUUUGGCACCUCGAUGUCGGCUCAUCACAUCCUGGGGCUGAAGUAGGUCCCAAGGGUAUGGCUGUUCGCCAUUUAAAGUGGUACGCGAGCUGGGUUUAGAACGUCGUGAGACAGUUCGGUCCCUAUCUGCCGUGGGCGCUGGAGAACUGAGGGGGGCUGCUCCUAGUACGAGAGGACCGGAGUGGACGCAUCACUGGUGUUCGGGUUGUCAUGCCAAUGGCACUGCCCGGUAGCUAAAUGCGGAAGAGAUAAGUGCUGAAAGCAUCUAAGCACGAAACUUGCCCCGAGAUGAGUUCUCCCUGACUCCUUGAGAGUCCUGAAGGAACGUUGAAGACGACGACGUUGAUAGGCCGGGUGUGUAAGCGCAGCGAUGCGUUGAGCUAACCGGUACUAAUGAACCGUGAGGCUUAACCU
rnacentral:rRNA from 1 species